AACAAAAUGUUGCAGGUGGUUUCACUUUGUUAAGCUCCGUCUCUACUACAUGACGCAAAUAUUAGAAUGAUGUUUCCACCUGAUGUUAUUGAAAAAGCUAAACAUUUUCUUUUCUUGAACUCAGGAGGAUUGGGAGCUUAUAGUGACUCAAGAGAUCUUCUGGAAGUUAGAGAAGAGGUUGCUGAGUUCAUUGACGCCAUGGGUACCCAGGGACCAAGAACUAACAUUUUUCACUGAUGGAUCUAGAAGAUGGUCGUGAUGGAGAUGAACGCAAAGGCGAUGACUUUGACCAGCCUUGGCGUCUUCACCGCGUCUAAUCCAACGUCGGAGAGUUUCAUCGUCGUCACACGGUGACACAAAAGCAGAGCACGACGGAUCGAGCAGAAGAAACAAAAACUAAAAAACAGAGUUUGUAACGGAGUUAUUAACAGACGACGACGGCGACGGUGGAGUGACGGAGGGAGGGAGGUGGAGGUUGAGACACGUGGAUGAGGUGGGAGUGAGUGAAGGUACGGAACUCGAGGACUACUGCUCGCAUGAGGACAAUCGAAACAGAACAGAAGAAGAAGAAAGAAUAGUUAAAGGCGUUAUAUAAUGAUGACCUAAUUACAACCUGGAAGAAAUCUAUUUGCUUUUUUAACUAAUUUUUUUAAUAUAGUGGA